rnacentral:rRNA from 1 species
UACGUAGGGGGCAAGCGUUGUCCGGAAUUAUUGGGCGUAAAGGGCGCGUAGGCGGCUUUUCAAGUGACGGGUGAAAUCCCUCGGCUUAACCGAGGAACUGCCUGUCAGACUGGAAGGCUUGAGACCGGGAGAGGUGAGUGGAAUUCCCAGUGUAGCGGUGAAAUGCGUAGAUAUUGGGAGGAACACCAGUGGCGAAGGCGGCUCACUGGACCGGAACUGACGCUGAGGCGCGAAAGCGUGGGGAGCAAACAGGAU